GACGAACGCUGGCGGCGUGCUUAACACAUGCAAGUCGAACGGAAAGGCCCUGCUUUUGUGGGGUGCUCGAGUGGCGAACGGGUGAGUAACACGUGAGUAACCUGCCCUUGACUUUGGGAUAACUUCAGGAAACUGGGGCUAAUACCGGAUAGGAGCUCCUGCUGCAUGGUGGGGGUUGGAAAGUUUCGGCGGUUGGGGAUGGACUCGCGGCUUAUCAGCUUGUUGGUGGGGUAGUGGCUUACCAAGGCUUUGACGGGUAGCCGGCCUGAGAGGGUGACCGGCCACAUUGGGACUGAGAUACGGCCCAGACUCCUACGGGAGGCAGCAGUGGGGAAUAUUGCACAAUGGGCGGAAGCCUGAUGCAGCAACGCCGCGUGCGGGAUGACGGCCUUCGGGUUGUAAACCGCUUUCGCCUGUGACGAAGCGUGAGUGACGGUAAUGGGUAAAGAAGCACCGGCUAACUACGUGCCAGCAGCCGCGGUGAUACGUAGGGUGCGAGCGUUGUCCGGAUUUAUUGGGCGUAAAGGGCUCGUAGGUGGUUGAUCGCGUCGGAAGUGUAAUCUUGGGGCUUAACCCUGAGCGUGCUUUCGAUACGGGUUGACUUGAGGAAGGUAGGGGAGUAUGGAAUCCCUGGUGGAGCGGUGGAAUGCGCAGAUAUCAGGAGGAACACCAGUGGCGAAGGCGGUUCUCUGGGCCUUUCCUGACGCUGAGGAGCGAAAGCGUGGGGAGCGAACAGGCUUAGAUACCCUGGUAGUCCACGCUGUAAACGGUGGGUACUAGGUGUGGGGUCCAUUCCACGGGUUCCGUGCCGUAGCUAACGCUUUAAGUACCCCGCCUGGGGAGUACGGCCGCAAGGCUAAAACUCAAAGGAAUUGACGGGGCCCCGCACAAGCGGCGGAGCAUGCGGAUUAAUUCGAUGCAACGCGUAGAACCUUACCUGGGUUUGACAUGGAUCGGGAGUGCUCAGAGAUGGGUGUGCCUCUUUUGGGGUCGGUUCACAGGUGGUGCAUGGCUGUCGUCAGCUCGUGUCGUGAGAUGUUGGGUUAAGUCCCGCAACGAGCGCAACCCUUGUUCACUGUUGCCAGCACGUUAUGGUGGGGACUCAGUGGAGACCGCCGGGGUCAACUCGGAGGAAGGUGGGGAUGACGUCAAGUCAUCAUGCCCCUUAUGUCCAGGGCUUCACGCAUGCUACAAUGGCUGGUACAGAGAGUGGCGAGCCUGUGAGGGUGAGCGAAUCUCGGAAAGCCGGUCUCAGUUCGGAUUGGGGUCUGCAACUCGACCUCAUGAAGUCGGAGUCGCUAGUAAUCGCAGAUCAGCAACGCUGCGGUGAAUACGUUCCCGGG
rnacentral:rRNA from 1 species